rnacentral:rRNA from 1 species
GGACUACCGGGGUAUCUAAUCCUGUUUGCUCCCCUUGCUCUCGCGCUUCAGCGUCAGUUAUAAGCUAGAGAACCGCUUUCGCCACCGGUGUUCUUCCACAUAUCUACGCAUUUCACCGCUACACGUGGAAUUCCGUUCUCUCCGCCAAUCCUCAAGAUUUAUAGUUUCAAAUGCGGCUCCGGAAUUGAGUCCCGGAAUUUCACAUCUGACUUAUAUAUCCGCCUACGCGCCCUUUACGCCCAAUAAUUCCGAUUAAUGCUUGCACCCUCCGUAUUACCGCGGCUGCUGGCAC